rnacentral:lncRNA from 1 species
UCCAGGCAUCUUCUUGAAUCUCUCAUUUUCCUGAACAAGUGCAAUGAUGAGAGAUCUUGUUGGACACAGAAGAGAAGAGAGACAAUAUUUGUCUGGAGCAGCUCUUGCCAGAUGAGAAAUCCCUCAGUGUGCACACAGUUGUUUGACCACCUCGCACAAUGAAAUGCUGCAUCGGGAAUAUCCAUAUGAUAAGGAGACUGGAGGAUGCUUUUCUGCAUAACUUUAUCAUUCCAAUGGUCUGGAGGAUUUGGAUGAUUGAAAACCAACA